GAAGCAUUUUGUAGAAGUACGGCCACCGAUAGACCUCGAAAGGUAGCCAUGGCUCGCUGGCCGACUCCGCGCUGUCUGUGACUGUGACUGUGAUUGUGAGACACUUCUCUUCUAUCUCCUCCAUUUCAUGGCCUCCCGCCUAACCCUCAUUUACCCGCCCGUUCUCCCGCCGCUCAGCAUUCUAGGGUUUUCAGUUUUUCGAGCUCCAGUGCGCCGCGGCCGCCGCCCGUGAUGCCUGACUCACCGGAGCUAGUCGUGAGGGCGCUCGGGAAGCGCCUGGCGCAGCCGCGCUUAGGCAAGGACGCCCUUAUCAAGCUCCUCAAGCAAGCUGAAAGUGCAUUAUCAGAGUUUAGUCAAUCAUCCUCUCUGCAGGAUCCUCUUCAUGCUCUGAGCAAAUCUCUUGUCCAGACCACUUUACUCAACCAUAAGGAUAAGGAUGUCAAGCUUCUUGUUUCUGUUUGUUUAAUCGAAGUUAUGCGUGUUCUUGCACCUGAUCCACCUUUUAGUGAUGAAAUACUUAAGGAAAUAUUUAAGCUAUUUAUCAGCAUAUUUGCGGACCUUGCUGAAACUAGCAGUCCAUUUCUUACUAGAAGGAUGAAAAUUUUGGAAAAUGUUGCUGCACUUAGAUGUUCUAUGAUCAUGCUCAACAUUGGCUGCGAGGACUUGAUUCUUGAUAUGGUCAAAAUUUUCUUCUCCACAGUGAAGCAUGGUCUUCAAAAGAGUGUGCACCAAGCUAUGCUAUCAAUGAUGACACAAAUAUUGAAUGAGAAAGUUACUCAGUCUCUUGUAGAUGUGAUUUUACGCAAUUUAGUAAAAGAUGACAAGGGAGCAUCCCACAAGCUAGCUUUUAACAUCAUUGAAAAUUGUGCUGACAAAUUGGAGCCUAUCAUUCACAGUUUUUUGUCCUCAUGCAUUUUUAACAAGGACAUGCCUGUUACUGAACUUAGGAGAUUAUAUCAUAAAAUUAUUCUUGAAAUAUUCCAGUGUGCACCCCAGAUCCUUUUCGCUGUCAUUCCGAGCUUGACGCAUGAACUUCUUAGUGACCAAGUUGAUAUAAGGCUGGAGGCAGUUCACCUUAUUGGGAGGCUUCUUGCCCUAUCUAAUCUUCAGUUUGGUCAAGAAAACAAGAUGGUUUUUAUAGAAUUUCUAAGGAGAUUCUCUGACAAAUCUGCAGAAGUUAGAAUUGCCGCAAUUGAUGCAGCCAAAGCGUGCUAUAUGGAUGUGUCUAGGGAUGAAGCACAACAUAUACUUUCAUCACUUGAAGGGAGGUUACUAGAUUUUGAUGAGAAAGUGAGGAUCCGAGCUGUUCACACAGUCUGUGAUUUAGCCAAAUCAAACCUUAGCUCUUCUGCUAAACUGAUAUUACAUGCAGCUGAGAGACUACGUGACAAAAAAGCAUCCGUUAGAAAAAAUGUAAUGCACAAGUUGUUGGAGCUGUAUCGGGAUUACUGUGAGAAAUGCUCAAAAGGAACUGCCACAGUCAACACUCAUUAUGAACAAAUCCCAGCUAAACUUAUAGUUCUUUGUUUCGAUAAUGAUAUUGAAUCCUUCAGGCCACAGAAUAUGGAGCUUAUAUUUGCUGAAGAACUCUUUCCAUUCUCUCUUUCUCCAAAAGAGAGGGCGACCCAUUGGAUUGCGUUCUUUUCUUAUUUCAAACCAGAACAUAUUAAGGCUUUGAACAUCAUUUUUUCUCAGAAGAGACGGUUACAACUGGAGAUGCAAACAUAUUUAUCACUUCGAGCAAGGAAGGAGGAAUCAUCAGAAGAAAUGCAGAAGAGAAUCCGUGCGGCAUUCAGAAAGAUGGCAACAUCCUUUCCAGAUAUUUCCAAAGCUGAAGAGUGCUUUGAAAAUUUGCACCAGAUGAAAGAUAAUAACAUAUUUAAGGAUUUGGAUGAACUAAUAAAUGAGGGAACCAGUUUUGCAAAAGGCCGCGUGACCAGAGAGUUGGUGGCAUCUAAUCAGAGUGCCUUUGUGAGAGGCCGAUCGAUUCACGAUAACUUUAUGUUGGUGCAGCAUUCAAUUAAAUCUCUCCACAAGAAGAGAGUCUCUAGUUUGCUCUUGAAGCUGGAUAUCUCCAAAGCAUUUGACUCGGUCUCUUGGGCCUUCUUGCUUGAAGUGCUUUCAUAUCUUGGGUUUGGUCCUGUGUGGCGAAAUAUGAUCUCCAAUAUUCUGGCCUCUUCUUCUACGCAAGUGCUUUUGAAUGGGUCUCCUGGUAUUCCUAUUAGGCACCGGAGAGGGCUUCGCCAGGGUGAUCCUCUCUCUCCAAUGUUGUUCGUAUUGGUUAUGGAUAUUCUCAACAGUCUGUUUAACCUGGCUGAAAAUAGGGGGCUGCUGCACAGCUUGGAGGGUGCUAAUAUCCGUAACAGACUGUCCAUUUAUGCUGAUGAUGUGGUCCUUUUUGUUCAACCUUUUGAGGAAGAUUUUCAAUGUGUCAAAACGAUUUUGGACUGCUUUGGUUCAGCCACGGGAUUGGUAUCUAAUUUGCAAAAAAGUUUUGUUAUCCCAAUCAGGUGUAAUGAGCAGGCGGUACAGAUGGGCUGCAAUACUCUUCAGUGCACUGCUUCCUCCUUUCCUUGCACUUAUUUGGGACUGCCAAUUUCAGAUAAAAAGCUCAGAAAAUCUGAUCUCAUGGUUUGGGUCGAGAAAGUUGCAGACCGACUUCCUAAUUGGAAGGCUCGGUUGCUUAGUUUCGCUGGCAGGACAACUAUGGUGCGCUUUGUGCUUUCAGCCAUCCCGAUCUACCUUCUCAUUGCAAUGAAAAUCCCCAAGUGGGUGAUUAAUUCUAUAGAUAAGAUUCGGAGAGGAUUUAUUUGGAAAGGAAGAAAGGAGGUAAAUGGUGGCAAUUGCCUUGUGUCGUGGGACAUUGUUACAAGGCCUUUGGAUCUCGGUGGGCUUGGGAUUUCUAACCUGCUGUACCAGAGUUGGGCGCUACAAGCUAGAUGGCUAUGGCUAGAAAAAACUGAUCCUACCAAGCCGUGGUCUGGUUUGGACUUGCCUAUUCAACAAAUUGUCAAGAGAUUCUUUACUGCUUCUAUUGUUUCUCUGGUUGGUAAUGGGCAUAAUACUUUAUUUUGGACAGAUCGGUGGUUGGAUGGGUCUUGUAUCCAAGAUUUUGCCCCUGCUGUUGUGGCUAAUGUUGGGAAACGAGCUAUUUCGUCUAGAUCGGUGGCCCAUGCUCUUCAGAAUUGGCAGUGGAUCAGUGACAUUGAGACCCCACUUAAUUUGCUUGGGCUGCAGCAAUAUCUUAGCCUUUGGGAUGCCUUAAGGGGAGUGGUGCUCACUCAGGAGGCGGAUCGACAUGUGUGGAUUCAUUCUUCCUCUGGUCAGUUCUCUUCGAAGUCGUGUUAUAGGGCAUUUUUCAUGGGUUCGAUUACCUUCGAACCAUGGAAGAGGUUAUGGAAGACUUGGGCUCCACCCAAAUGCAAAUUUUUUCUUUGGUUGGCAAUAAGAAAUAAAUGUUGGACAGCUGAUAGACUGCAGAAAAGAGGGUUGGCUUAUCCUGAGGUUUGUCCUUUAUGUGAUCAAGAUUCGGAGAAUAUCCAACACCUCCUUUGCACUUGCAUUUUUGCGCGACAAUUUUGGUUCUACAUUCUCUCUUCCUUGGGGCUGGCUAAUCUUUCUCCUGCCUCUAAUGAGUCCAAUUUUGCUGACUGGUGGGAGAAGGUGUGUAAGCAAGUGCACAAAUCCAAAAGAAGAGGCGUUAACAGUAUCAUCAUCUUGGGGGCUUGGUGUUUAUGGCUGCAUCGUAAUAAGGCGGUUUUUGAUGACGUCAGGCCUUCUUUUCAGGGAAUAAAAUCAGUUUUUCUGGAUGAGUUUGAGUGUUGGAGGCUUGCCGGUGCUAGACAUCUUGAGGAUUUGGGUCCUGGUGCUGCAAAUUUCAGAUCAAGGGUUCUAUUGGGGGCUUAGUGAAGAGAAGUUGUGUGGGUGUGCGGCCUGUGUUCAGAGGGCAGCUGCAUUCGCUGUUUCCAUGUGCAGAGGGCAGCUGCAUUCCUGUGCGUAGCAUGUAUUAGUGGUCUUGUGUUUGGUUAGGUUUUGGUGGUCUUGUGUUUUGGCCUUUUGUGCCAUUGUACUUUGGUCCAUUUUGGACUGUUUCUUCUCUUAAUUUAAUGAUGCGCAGCUCUCCUGCGCGUUCACGAAAAAGAAGAGAGCAGACAGCAGAGAACAGAUUGCAGUGCAGAGAGGGGGGACCAAGCCGCCAAUGAUGUGCAGUUGUGCACUAACCUUCAGAAGAUGAGGAGUUGCUCUUGGUCAUCUUGAGGUUGGGGAUGAGGUUCAGGUGGCGGCAAGGUGCUCUAGGUCCAGGCAGCAGCGCAGCAGAGCAACAGCCAGCAGCUCCAUGCACCAGGCUACACCGCUACAGGAUAUGUUUCUCAAGAGAAUCGGGCAGAAACACCCAAUUUACACAUUUUCCAGAGUGCUGUCUAUAAAAUGUUUGCAUUCAAUAUUUAAUCAGGAGAUGAUCUGUGCCAUCCUCGAAUCUCUUUUGUCCCGCGGAAAUGAAUUAAUUGAUUAUGUUGAGUCUGCUUGUGAUCUAUUACUGGUAAUUGCAAUGGUGUUUCCAUCAUUAUUCCGAGGCUCAGAGGAGUACUUGCUUAAGUUGUUCUUAGAAGAACCAAUUCUGAUAAAUGUGAAGACUCUCCAGAUGUUGGCACAUUUGGCAAAAUCUACACACUGUUUGUCUACUAAUUUUAGCAAUGUUGUGUACCCAUUAUUGGAGCAAAAGUGCAUUGAAGGUACUCGUGCUGAAUCAAAAUACGCAAUCACUGCAAUUGCUGCACUCCACUCAGAUGAUAAGAAAUUUGCUAAAUUAUUUAAGAAAGUUAUUACUGGGCUAAAUGACGAUCACAAUGUUCCAACACUAUUACAGUCAUUGGGCUCAAUAUUGGAAAAUUCCCCUUCUAUCUAUGCGUUGUACGAGAGGGAGGUCACCACUUUGUUUCAAGAUAUUUUGUCGCCAGCUGAAUUCAUUUCAACUUCUGGACAGUUAUCCGUUGAUGACCUUUCUGCAUGCUGCGCCUCUUGCAAGCAGAAGAUUUAUUGUCUCAAAGCACUUGUUAGAAGCUGUUUACCCAGAAGUACUGCACACACUCGAAUUAACAAUAUUCUGGAGAAGCUGUUGAAAUACGAAAAGGGUCUCUUCGAUGACAUUGCUCUAUGGCAGAGUGUCAUUAUUACCCCCUUCAAACUCAAGGUGGAAGUGCAGGAUCUGAAGCAUUGAGUUUGAUCAAAUUGAAUCGAUGUUCUCUUGUUUGUGCUUUUGUGAAGAAGUCUGCAACUUGCAUUUCUGAUGGCGCAUGUUGAAGAGCAAUAAUGUUCUGUUGGCAAUGAGACCAAUGAAAAUGAUCAUUCAUAUAUAAAACUGGCCGCUGGAAAAUCUGUGCUGCAAUUAGCUACAAGAUGGGAUUCACAUAUUUCACCAGAAUUAUUUCGUAACACACUUCUCAUAGCAAGGGAUUCUUCAUAUACUGUUCGCAAGUCAUUUAUUUGCAAACUUUAUGGCCUCUUGAAGAAACGUGCAAUCCCGUUUAGAUAUGCAUGUGCUUUUGCACUAACGGCAACAGAUUGCUCCAGAGAUAUUCGUACUGAAUCGGCAAGUUACUUAAGUGAGGUCCUGAAGGAGCAAAGAAGGUUUUUUGUUUAUCAGAACAGAACAAGCAAAGAAUCUAUUGUGGACAACCCAGCAUAUGCUGUGAUUUUUUUGAUCCAUACUCUAGCAUAUGAUGGGGCGCUCCCUUCCGAUUACUAUGUAGACGAGAGUAGCUUUCCUGAAUUUUGCAGCCCACUUUGUGUGAUGUUGAGAGAACUAGUUGAAAUAGAUAGUUCUAGCAAAACUGAGCAUGGUCCCACAGCCAGUUUUGUAUCAGUUCUGUCUGGGAUUCUCCGUGGUAUUCAGAAGGCUGAGGAUCCGAUUAAUUCUGAGAUCACUCCUACACUGCAUGUUCUCUCAAAAAUCGGCUUGCUUAUUGUAAAAGAACUUGAUAAGCAUUGCAAGAUGUCUGAUUGUCCACGCCAUAUUCUCUUGCCGUCAUCUUAUUAUAGAUUGUCUGUGAGUGAGAGGAAAUCAUAUGAAUGUUGCCAAGAAAAUUUCAUUAGUGAUAAGCUUGUAAAGAGAAUUCUUAAAGCUCAUGAACCUUAUAACCAUAAUGACAAUACUAAAUGUUCUGUUGUUUCUGAGAGGGUAUCAUAUGAAUUUGUUCCUGAAAGGAAAGCUUGCUCCUCAUUAAACAAAUCAGUGGUACAGAAUGCAAGUGGUUGUGAUAGCAAUAGGAACAAAUGUUUGGCAUCUGGGAAAGCUGUGUCCAAGAAAAAAGAUCAGAGUACCAAUAAUAGCUUGGAUAAAGAAAAUAUGUCAUCUUGUGGUUCUGGUGGCACAAAGGUGUCAUCUCCAGGCUCCUUGGGUUUAGCUAGGGAGGUUGAUUCUGGAAAUUGUCUCUCCCUCUUGGAUAACCGGAAUUGUCCUAUGACUAGGACCUCAAAGGCAAAUCACAACAAUUGUAGGCAAACUGCGGACAUCUUGGAUUUUAAUCUCAGAGAAUGUAGUUCCUUCAAGAAAGGUCAUAGCAAGGGUUUAUCUGAAGCCCAGAAGCAUGAAAAGUCGCUUCCUGGCUCUUCAAUUGCAUGUGAUAUUGAAGAUGCCGGUGAUUGCAAUGAUAACCUUGUGAAAGCACCUUCAUCAAACAACGUAACAGCCAACUUUAAGAAAAAGGGUAAGAGAACACUGGAGUUGGUGAAUUUGCAGAAUAGCUCAGAUUUAACUGAUGUUGUCACAAAAGAUAACGUUCGACAGAUUAGAGCAAGGAAGGUGCCAGUGUAAACAGCUACUCACAUAUGAUCUUGGUAUUUAUGUAAUUUCCGUCCGAUGUAAAUAAAUACUUAGUUCUGAAAUCAUUUAUACAUGCAUAUCCACUUGAGAGUACUGUUAUAAUGGUAGGAAUCUUGGUCCCGGUUCACCAUGUAACAUUAUAAUUUAAAUAGGGAUGGGCAUGAGCCUCUUAGGCUAUUUCUAGUAGAUCCUCUACCUUGUAUCCUAUUUCAAAUUUUUCUGCAAACACUGUCAGUGUCAUCUACAAUUUUGUGCUCCCUAUUUUCCAUGGUCUACUUGAGACAGUUUUAUGAGUU